rnacentral:rRNA from 1 species
AACGAACGCUGGCGGCGCGUUUUAAGCAUGCAAGUCGAACGGUAGGGGUACCUUCGGGUACUCUGAGAGUGGCGGACGGGUGAGUAACACGUAGGUGAUCUACCCUUGGAUGGGGGAUAGUCCAUGGAAACAUGGGGUAAUACCGCAUAAGGCCUAUAUUCUGCGGGGUAUAGGUGAAAGGCGCAAUUGUGCUGUCUGAGGAUGAGCCUGCGGUCCAUUAGUUAGUUGGCGGGGUAAAGGCCCACCAAGGCGAUGAUGGAUAGCCGGCCUGAGAGGGUGUACGGUCACACUGGGACUGAGACACGGCCCAGACUCCUACGGGAGGCAGCAGCUAAGAAUCUUCCGCAAUGGGGGAAACCCUGACGGAGCGACGCCGCGUGGACGAUGAAUGCCGAGAGGUUGUAAAGUCCUUUUCUUGCUGAAGAAUAAGGUAAGGAGUGGAAAGCCUUACUGAUGACGUUAGGCAAGGAAUAAGCCCCGGCCAAUUACGUGCCAGCAGCCGCGGUAACACGUAUGGGGCGAGCGUUGUUCGGAAUUAUUGGGCGUAAAGGGCGUGUAGGCGGUUUCAUAAGCCUGGUGUUAAAGGCGCUGGCUCAACCAGUGUUGUGCGCUGGGAACUGUGGGACUUGAGUUCAGGAGAGGAAGCUGGAAUUCCUGGUGUAGGGGUGAAAUCUGUAGAUAUCAGGAAGAACACCGGUGGCGAAGGCGAGCUUCUAGCCAUGGACUGACGCUGAGGCGCGAAAGCGUGGGGAGCGAACAGGAUUAGAUACCCUGGUAGUCCACGCUGUAAACGAUGUGCACUAGGCGUUGGGUGUGUUGAGCAGUCAGUGCCGUAGCGAACGCGUUAAGUGCACCGCCUGGGGAGUAUGCUCGCAAGGGUG